rnacentral:rRNA from 1 species
GUGAGGAAUUUUCCGCAAUGGGCGAAAGCCUGACGGAGCAAUGCCGCGUGAAGGAUGAAGGCCUAUGGGUUGUAAACUUCUUUUCUUAGAGAAGAAUAUUGACGGUAUCUGAGGAAUAAGCAUCGGCUAACUCCGUGCCAGCAGCCGCGGUAAUACGGAGGAUCCAAGCGUUGUCCGGAUUUAUUGGGUUUAAAGGGUGCGUAGGCGGAUCUUUAAGUCAGUGGUGAAAGCCUGCAGCUUAACUGUAGAAUUGCCAUUGAAACUGAAGAUCUUGAAUGUGGUUAAAGUAGGCGGAAUGUAUCAUGUAGCGGUGAAAUGCUUAGAUAUGAUACAGAACACCGAUAGCGAAGGCAGCUUGCUGAACCAUUAUUGACGCUGAGGCACGAAAGCGUGGGGAGCGAACAGGAUUAGAAACCCUAGUAGUCC